UACGUAGGGGGCUAGCGUUGUCCGGAAUCAUUGGGCGUAAAGCGCGUGUAGGCGGCCCGAUAAGUCCGCUGUGAAAGUCCAGGGCUCAACCCUGGGAUGCCGGUGGAUACUGUCGGGCUCGAGUCCGGAAGAGGCGAGUGGAAUUCCUGGUGUAGCGGUGAAAUGCGCAGAUAUCAGGAGGAACACCGGUGGCGAAGGCGGCAUCCUGGACCGGCAUUGACGCUGAGGCGCGAAAGCCAGGGGAGCAAACGGG
rnacentral:rRNA from 1 species